rnacentral:lncRNA from 1 species
GAGGAGUGACAUUUGUGACUCUAGAAGCUCCAAGACCUCAAGAUCAACAAGGAACUCAAAGGUAUGAUUCUAGAUCUGUUUUAAUGUUCUUGUUUAACCUAAUUAGUAAUUAGAAGUCUUGGAUUCAAAGCAUGUUUAUUAGAAAGCCUAGAUCCAAGCAUUAGGGUUUUGCAUGCGCACAUAGGAAAGUUCUUAUGGCUAAAACCCAUCAGUGGUAUCAGAGCCUAGCUUGGUUUUCUGUAAAUUGUUGCUUGAUUAACUGAAACAAACCUGCAAAAUUCGAAUUUUUGGUUUCUGAGUCAUGGACUCGGCGAGUCUCAAAGUGGACUCGGCGAGUAGGCCUGACUCGGCGAGUCCAUUUGUGCACUCGGCGAGUCCAGGCGUCAGGAAUGGCCAGAUUCGGGAUUUCUUUGUGUUUAUCUUAUCUUAACUUACCAUAAACUAAUUAGAUCAACAUUAAUUCGUUUUUCUGAUAAAUAUAACUAUUAUCUUGAUCUAGUUAAAGGUAAUUAUCAACUAAUUAAAUAUUUAAUUUCCUUAUAUGAUAAUUAAUUAAUUAUUUUGAUUAUUUUGGUAAUUAUCUUUAAAAGAAAUCUUGAAUAAAUCAAAUAUAGAUAAUUAGGAUAUUAAUUGUUAAUUGGAAUUAUUUGUUAUUUGAUCCUCCAUGUUUUAAAUGUUUAAAACCUACCCUCAUGUUUUGAAAUUUACUUUUGUGAUUAAAAGUUUUAAUUUAGACAACUUAAAUUUCAAACCCUAGAUUUUAAAAGUUUUAAAAUACAACCCUAUACUAAUAUGAUAUUACUAGAAUAAUAUAUAUAUGUAUAACUAAAUGCUAGUCUUACCGUUAGUAGGCCUCAUUCACGAAGCCGAUCUAUAAGGUGGGUAUAAGGUUGCGGCCUAUAAAAUGGCGCUUAAUGGGUGUACACUCACACCCACCGCUUGCUUGAUUGGUGGAGGGUCGUUAGCCGAACGGGUAGGAUAGGGCAACCUCAUCCUCUCAUUAAAAGUAUAAUAAGAAAUAUAAAGUAACUACACAUUUUUUUAAAAUUUCCCAAUCCUAGUUACUUUAGGAAAAGUGAAUUGAUGCAAUCCCAUGAAAUUACACUUUGCACCUUGCUAAGAUGUUAGUGGAGCGUGUGUGGUUUACCGGCACACUAAUUGGUUCUAAGCGAAGGUGGCAAAGGGUGAUUCAUUGUUUAUCAUAGUUCGAUGGAGCGUGUGUGGUUUACCGGCACAUCGAAUAGGUGAUUGUUACAAUGAAGGCACCAUGUGAAUUUGCAUGGUAAUUCACACCCGCUUUGUGAUCCUCGGCAUCCCAGUCACAAACAAGAGGGGCAUAUCGAGAUUUAAACAUGCCAUUGAAUAGUUUCAAUGAAUCUCAUCCGAACCUAGGAAUUCUCAAAAACACUUAGGACUAAUAGUUUAAGUUUUGUGAUGGAGAAUUAGUGAAUCGUCAUUCACUUACCUUCAAUUUAUUUGCAUGUUAGAUUACGGCAUCCCUUUUCUAGUAUGUAAAUGUUAUUGUUGGAUCCUAGCCCUAAUUUUCUUAUUGGGUGAUAAUUAGGGAUUCUUAUUCUAAUCUAUCUUUGUCCUUUUCUAAUUGUAGAUGUCGAACGCAAACAACGCUGCUGCUAGUUCUUUCACGUUGAUGAGCCUUUGCCAAAAGGUCACCUUCGAUGGAACGAACUUUAGCGAAUGGAUAAGAUACAUUCGCACCAUUGCUCGCUAUGAGGAUAAGGAGUAUGUCCUCGAUGAGAAGCUCGAGAAAAUCAACCCCGAAAUUGCUACUCCCGCCGAAAUCACCGCCUUUGAAACUCAUGAGCGAGAUGCAACGAAGGUACAUUGCAUCAUGAUCGCCACCAUGAACUCCGAAUUCCAAAAGUCCUACGAGGACAUGUACCCGUACGAGAUGCAUCAAGACUUAUUGGAGAGGUACCACCAAAACGCGAGACAAGAGAGGUACGAGAUUUUCACUAACAUGAUUUCCGCGAAGAUGGGUCAUGGAGAAUCUCUUACCGUGCACUUGCAAAAGAUGCAAAGGUAUGUUGACCGCCUCCGCAAGUUAAAUGUUGACUUCGGUGAAGACUUGGCGAUCGACAUGGUGCUUCACUCUUUGCCUCCGAUGUACAACCAAUUUAGGAUGACCUACCACAUGAACAAAGAAGAGGUCACCCUAAGCAAGCUCCAAGGUCUCUUGAGGGUUGCUGAGAGCAACUUCAAAGACAAGUCUGUUGCACCUACUCCCAAUCCGCCCGCUGCUCCUGUCUUGGCUAUUGGACAAGGGAAGGGAAAGAAGAGGAAAGCUUCAUCGAAGAACUAUCGCAAGGUGAAAGCCCGAGAUGGUGCCUCUUCUAGUGGGACCAAAGUUGAUCCCGCCAAGCCCUGCUCUAACCCGAAGGAGGCAGAGUGCCACCACUGCCACAAGAUAGGACAUUGGAAGAGAAGCUGCCCGGAUUACCUGCAAGCAAUCAAAGAAGGAAAGAUCAAGCCAUCUUUCGCAGGUAUAUAUACAAUCAAAUCUAACGAUUCUAAUCAUGCUAUUUCUUGGGUUCUUGAUACCGGUUGUGGUUAUCACAUUUGUUCUAAUGUGCAGGGACUAAGAAGAAGUAGGGAUGUGGAGCAAGGAAGGAUCAAUCUAAUCAUGGGGAACAGAAGAUCGUCGCCUGUGACCAAGAUUGGAGUGUAUUCCUUAGUGCUUAGGAAUAGUUUAGUUUUAGAUUUGAACAAUUGUUGCUAUUCGCCAGAAAUGGCAAGAAACAUCAUUUCAUUUCAUGGUUUAUAUAGACAAGGAUUUAGAUUUUCUUUUAAUAAUGAGAAUGGUUCUAUUUUGGCUUAUCUAAAUGGUGUCUUUUACUUUGAAGCUAUACCAUGUAAUGGAAUAUAUGAAACCGUUAUGAUUGUUGAUAACUUAGGAAAUGAUGUUUUGAAUAUUGAUUCUUCCACUAGUAUGGAUAAAGCAUCCUUGUGGCAUUGUCGUCUUGGACAUGUCAACAAGAAACGCAUAGCCCAACUCCAAAAGGAUGGAGUGUUGGAGUCAUUCGACCUUAGGGAAGAUGACACAUGCGAGUCUUGUUUGCUUGGAAAGAUGACUAAGUCACCCUUCACGAGUACAUGUGAAAGGGGCGAGGGUCUAUUGGACCUAAUACAUACCGAUGUAUGUGGACCGUUUAGAUCAACCACGAAGGAUGGGAACCGCUUCUAUGUGACUUUUACCGAUGACUAUAGUAGAUAUGGGUAUAUCUACUUAAUCAAGCAAAAGUCAGAAACCUUUGAAAAGUUCAAAGAGUUCAAGAAUGAAGUGGAGAAUCAAUUGGGCAGGAAAAUCAAGAUGCUUCGAUCCGAUCGAGGAGGAGAGUACCUAAGUCUUGAAUUCCACGAUUAUCUCAAGGAGUGUGGAAUAGUUUCGCAAUUGACGCCUCCUAGGACACCGCAGUUGAAUGGUGUGGCAGAAAGGCGUAAUCGAACCUUAUUGGAUAUGGUUCGCUCUAUGAUGAGUCGUGCUUCACUACCAAUCUCUUUUUGGGGGUAUGCCUUAGAGACUGCCGCCCAUAUCCUUAACCGAGUCCCUACUAAGAAGGUUGCCAAAACACCUCACGAGAUGUGGACAGGGAAAGCUCCCUCGUUGGCACAUAUCAAGGUUUGGGGUUGCGAGGCUUUCGUAAGACGAGAUACUCACGACAAGCUUGAACCUCGAAGUGAGCGAUGUAUUUUCAUCGGCUACCCGCAGACAUCCUUUGGAUAUCUCUUCUAUAGACCGAAGGACAAUGUUGUCUUCGUUGCGAGGAGAGGAGUUUUCCGAGAGCGAGAACUCAUAAGCCAAGGAGACAGUGGGAGGCAAAUCGAGCUUGAAGAGAUUCAAGAGUCGAUAGAUGAAGGAACCUCUACCGCUGGCACUCAACCCGAGGAGGAAACUCCGGUUGAACCGAUUGACGAAUCCUUACCUCUUAGACGUUCCGAUAGAGUUAGAGUUCAACCCCAGUUUUAUGGUUUUCAUAUUACUACCGAAGGGGACACGUAUAUUAGUGAUGGUACACUAAUAAAUCUUGAUGAACCUAAUAGCUAUAAGGAAGCCAUGGCAGGCCCGGAGUCUGCAAAAUGGAAAGAGGCAAUGGAUAGCGAGAUCCAAUCCAUGUAUGAUAACCAAGUUUGGAAUUUGGUUGAUUAUGUGCCCGGACGUAAGACCGUUGGGUGCAAAUGGAUCUUCAAGAAGAAGACCGACGUGGAUGGAAACGUACACACAUAUAAAGCGCGAUUGGUUGCGAAGGGCUUUACUCAAACUCCCGGAGUUGACUAUGAUGAGACCUUCUCACCAGUUGCGAAGAUUAAAUCUAUUAGAGUGAUGCUAGCAAUUGCCGCAUUUCAUGAUUAUGAGAUUUGGCAAAUGGAUGUCAAGACCGCUUUCCUUAACGGAAAGUUGGCUGAGGAUGUUUACAUGGCUCAGCCAGAGGGGUUUGUGGAUCCGAAGCAUCCGAAUAGAGUGUGUAAGCUUGAGAAGUCCAUUUAUGGACUUAAGCAAGCGUCUCGCAGAUGGAAUCUUUGCUUCGAUGAGAAAGUCAAAGAGUUUGGAUUUGUACGAAGCGAAGACGAAUCUUGUGUAUAUGUCAAAGCCAGUGGGAGUAUAGUAAGCUUCCUCGUUCUAUAUGUCGAUGACAUAUUACUCAUAGGAAACGACAUCCCGACUCUGCAGGAGGUUAAGUCCUGGCUCGGGAAGUGCUUCGCUAUGAAGGACCUCGGAGAGGCUUCUUACAUUUUGGGAAUAAGGAUAGUAAGAGAAAGAAGUAAGAGACUAAUUGGACUUAGUCAGAAUACUUACUUAGAGAAGGUACUAAAACGUUUUAGUAUGGAAAACUCAAAGAAGGGAGAACUACCGAUACAAAGUAAUGCCAAAUUGAGUAAGACUCAAAGUCCGAGUACCGAAGCUGAGAUAGCAGAAAUGAGCCGAGUACCAUACGCUUCCGCAGUUGGCUCAAUCAUGUACGCUAUGACUUGUACUCGCCCUGAUGUAGCCUUCGCUUUGAGCAUGGUUAGCAGAUAUCAAGGGAAUCCUGGCAAAGCACAUUGGAUUGCGGUGAAGAAUAUCCUUAAGUACCUUCGGAGGACGAAGGAAUGGUUCUUAGUCCUCGGAGGGAGUGAUGACUUGAAGGUGCGAGGGUAUAGUGACGCCAGUUUUCAGACCGACAGGGACAACUACCGUUCGCAGUCGGGCUGGGUCUUUACCCUAAAUGGAGGAGCAGUGACAUGGAAGAGUUCCAAGCAGGAAACCGUAGCUGAUUCAACGUGCGAAUCAGAGUACAUUGCAGCGAGCGAAGCGUCGAAGGAGGCAAUAUGGCUAAAGAACUUCAUCGGUGAUCUUGGAGUCGUACCUGCCAUAAAGGAGCCAAUGGAGAUUUUCUGUGAUAACGAAGGUGCGGUUGCCUUAACCAAGGAACCGAGGGAUCAUGGUAGAUCAAGACAUAUCGACAGAAAGUAUCACUUCAUUAGACAUCGUGUAGAAGAAGGACAACUCGUAGUGAAGAGGAUAUCAUCAGAAGAUAACCCAGCAGAUCCGCUUACGAAGGGACUGAGUAGGGUUAAGCACUUGCAGCAUGCUAGGAGUAUUGGGCUGAAGGAUGAUAUUAGCAUAGAUUAGAUAGUAUUAGAAACGUGUAAUAGAUAAAUGUAAUUGACAUUUGAUGAUUAAAUAAAGGAGUUUUAUUUAUGAGUAAUGUUACUAUCUUAUGUUAAUUGUUUAGCUAUUGUUUCACUUUGCAUGUUUUGACUUCCAGAAUAAUUGAGUUUAUUAGGAAUAAUCGAAUUAUUCAAAUGGUCCACAAUCGUUCAUAUGUUGGGAGUAGAUAUGAAAGAAGAUUGUCAUGAAUUGGUGUGUAGAAUGUCUAAAUGGUGUUAGACAUAGCAAAGGAUUGCUGCAACGUUCAUGAGUGCUUAUGAACUAGUUUUGAGCAUUGGAAUAAACCCGCGCUUGCUGGAAUCACCUUAUGGAAUACGAUAUAAAAGGUGAUCGCAAGACGAUAAUAUCAUAUAGUCUUAAAACCUAGAUAUAUGGUUUAUUAUUUGUUAAUUGAUUGUACAUUGAUAAUACGAAAACGCAUCAGUAACUUGGUGUUAUAAAACGUAUUGUUGUGUAUAGUUGGUUAAUGAAUAAGUAAAUGCAUAUAAGUCGAAGUUUAUCUGUAACUUUUAUCUAAGAAGGUAAAAGCGAUAUCUCGGCCGCUCGAUGAUUUGAUUUGACUUAUGUGCCGGGCCCGGUCAGAACUGAAUUGAUGUGUUCGAUUAAGUUCUAUGUCAAAUAAAUCAGAGAUCGAGAAACCUAAAUGCUUGACUAACCAUUCCAUAGGAUUGUCAGCAUGAUAUCUAACAGAGGACUGUACGUUCCCUUAUCUAAAGGACAAGAUUGAUUAGAUCAGAGUUGACAGCGUCUUUGAGAGCUACGAUUGCAAACCGAAUUGUACUUGUAUAGUUACUAGACUUAUCCAAGUGGGAGACUGUUGGAAUAGUGUCUAAGGCUGUAACUAUAUCCGGUUGUGCAUGGUCCUUUUGGGUUGCCUUCACCAUAGCAACUUGAUAGGAUGAUUUAUUAAGAGAGAAUAAAUAUUAUUAAUAUAUUAUGGGAAUAAUAUAAUGAAUAAUAUAUUUGUUAUUUGAUUAAUAUAAGUCAUAGAAUUAAUUAGAAUUAAUUUGGUGACUUAAAGAGAUUAAUUAAAUAAAGGGGUAUAAACUGUCAAUUGUUUGAUAGUUAAGCUUUAAACUGUAAAUCCAUUUGGAUAUACUUUGGACGGAUUCUAAGAGCUUUAGGAAAGCUAAAAUCGUCCAUAUGCUUAUCUAGGAAUGGAUUUGGAUAGCCUUAAGAGAAGAUUAUCUGAUAGGGACUUAUCUGUAAUCAUUAAGGAAUCUACAAGUAUAAAUAGACCCCAUGGCAUAGGGAAUUCGACACUUCUGAAAAAGCAAGAGAACUCUGGUCGAAUUCCUCCCCUCUCCUCUCUCCCAAAUCAUCCUCCUUGCUUUGGUGUUUGUAAGCCAUUAGAGGAGUGACAUUUGUGACUCUAGAAGCUCCAAGACCUCAAGAUCAACAAGGAACUCAAAGGUAUGAUUCUAGAUCUGUUUCAAUGUUGUUAUUUAACCUAAUUAGUAAAUUAGAAGUCUUGGAUUCAAAGCAUGUUUAUUAGAAAGCCUAGAUCCAAGCAUUAGGGUUUUGCAUGCGCACAUAGGAAAGUUCUUCUGGCUAAAACCCAUC